rnacentral:rRNA from 1 species
UACGAAGGGGGCUAGCGUUGCUCGGAAUUACUGGGCGUAAAGCGCACGUAGGCGGUCUUUUAAGUCGGGGGUGAAAUCCUGGAGCUCAACUCCAGAACUGCCUUCGAUACUGGAAGACUUGAGCUCGGGAGAGGUCGGAGUGGAACUGCGAGUGUAGAGGUGAAAUUCGUAAGAUAUUCGCAAGAACACCAGUGGCGAAGGGCGGCUCACUGGCCCGGUACUCGACGCUGAGGUGGCGAAAGCGAUGGGGAGCAAACAGGGAAUUAAGAAA